rnacentral:tRNA from 1 species
GGCAGAGUAGAGUGAGAAUGCAUUAACUCUUGGUAGGGACUUUAUAAGCCCGAGGGUUCGAAUCCCUCCUCUGCCA